GCAAUCGGAAGUGGUUCCAAGAAAAGCCUCUAAGCUUCAGUCAUACGAGACCGUACCGCAAACCGACACAGGUGGGCGAGAUGAGUAUUCUAAGGCGCUUGAGAGAACUCGGGAGAAGGAACUCGGCAAAUUGGUACCGUAACUUCGGGAUAAGGUACGCCCUAGUAGCUUGAUUGGUUUACUCCAUGAGGGCCAAAGGGUUGCAAUAAAAUGGUGGCUGCGACUGUUUAAUAAAAACACAGCACUCUGCAAACACGAAAGUGGACGUAUAGGGUGUGACGCCUGCCCGGUGCUGGAAGAUUAAAUGAUGGGGUGCAAGCUCUUGAUUGAAGUCCCAGUAAACGGCGGCCGUA
rnacentral:rRNA from 1 species